CCUAGGGAGGCAGCAGUGGGGAAUAUUGCACAAUGGGCGCAAGCCUGAUGCAGCCAUGCCGCGUGUAUGAAGAAGGCCUUCGGGUUGUAAAGUACUUUCAGCGGGGAGGAAGGUGUUGUGGUUAAUAACCACAGCAAUUGACGUUACCCGCAGAAGAAGCACCGGCUAACUCCGUGCCAGCAGCCGCGGUAA
rnacentral:rRNA from 1 species